ACUGACCUUUCCAGAAGUUCCACGACUUCCAGACUUCUACUGACCUACAUCUACAGAGAGAGAGGAACGAUCCGGAGAGAGAUAGAGAGAUCGGGUCUGAGAGAGAGCAAUCCAGAGAGAUAUCAAGGACGAUCCACAGAGAGAUAGAGAGAUCGGGUGCGUGUUUUUUGCUUUGUACAGAGAGAGAGAGAGAGAGAGAGAGAUAGCUGAUAGUCACAAAAGGGGAUUUUCACCUCAUCAUCUGAGUACGAAGAUAAUUGUGCUUGGGUUUUGAAGAUAAUCGUGCUAGAUCAACCAGACCAUGGAGUAAGAAGGAAGCUAGAGACCAGAAUGAUCACAUACUGUGCAAGUUAAGCUAAGGACAAAUACAGAUCUUAUGGUCAGCAGACAGCAGUCAAUUUGAGUGCCUCCAACAUGGAUGAUGCUAAAGCCCGUGCUGCAAGUGCGCUUGAGGUCUCUGCUGUCAUUCACAGUUCUAAGUGUUGUCAACUGGAGUAUCUGCCUGUUUUUGCUUAGUUGAUUGGGUGUUGCUGUGUCUAGCGUGAGGGUAAUCAGUCAUACGAAGGACCACUAGAAGUAUGAGGAAAAAGCAGAUGACCCUUCAACAUGCACAGGGAAAAAUCAGCAUUGUUCAGUAUCACAGUUAAUGCUGGUAUGAGAAUAUAUCUAGCAUAAUAUAUUCAGAAAUUUGAGGACAUUCGGAAAGAAUUUACAUCAGCAGACUGACUUCAACUGAAUCAUAUCAUUCACAAGAUUUUGUUGACAGACAAGCUAUGUAAUACAUGGAUUCCACUUAUGGCGAAGCCCAACUGUCCAAGUCCAACUCAAGUAGCAAUAGGGCAAAAGCAAAAGUGCAAAACCUAGACAACGUCAUCCCACUAUCGAGUCUCUCACUCUCUCUCAAACGUAGGUCGCCUCUCUCUCAAAGACUCAAACACUCUUUCAGACCCUCUCUUCCUUCAGAGUCCAGACUGCCUCUCGCUCAGCCACCGCCUCCGGCGGUUUUGGACCUGCAGAUCAAGUGGUAGACUGGGUAGAGUCGUAGAGAUUGUUCCGGUAGGCUUGCGACGAGUCGGAUUGAAGAUCGAGGAGGAGUAGACGAAGUAGGCGACGCGAGAUUGCGACGCGAGCUGAGGCUGUGAGAAUAGAUCCGUGGGUGGGGGAGCUGAGGUUGUGAGAAUAGAUCCGUGGGUGGGUGAGCUGAGGCUGUGAGAAUAGAUCCGUGGGUGAGGCAAAUUGUGACGCGAGCUGAGGCAGUGGAGUAGGCAACGUCGACGCAGAAGGUGUGGACUUCGUUCCUGGUCUUCGGCAUGCAUCCACCGCCGACGCAUAAGAGCGAAAACAGAGAUCGGUGAUCUCCUUAGAGCUAUAAAAAUGGUGACGUCGUCGGCGGUCAACACUUAUCCACUUGGUGAGGUUCUUUGUUUGGUGAAAACUUGAUUGUGCAAAGCUUUGCAAGUGUUGAAUUACAUUCAACUUUUUGGGAAUUGAUACAAUUUUUGUAUCAAACAUUACAACUUUUUGGGAAUUGAUGAGGACUUGAUCAGUUCUUGUAUCAAAUCAGUUUUUGUAGUUUUGGUAGCCUUAGUGGCUUAGUGCCUCAGUGCAAUUAAUCAGUCAGAAUGUGAGUUUCAGAUUUUUUAUGUGGGAUUUGUAAUUAACUCAGGUUC